UGGGGAAUAUUGCACAAUGGGCGCAAGCCUGAUGCAGCCAUGCCGCGUGUAUGAAGAAGGCCUUCGGGUUGUAAAGUACUUUCAGCGGGGAGGAAGGGAGUAAAGUUAAUACCUUUGCUCAUUGACGUUACCCGCAGAAGAAGCACCGGCUAACUCCGUGCCAGCAGCCGCGGUAAUACGGAGGGUGCAAGCGUUAAUCGGAAUUACUGGGCGUAAAGCGCACGCAGGCGGUUUGUUAAGUCAGAUGUGAAAUCCCCGGGCUCAACCUGGGAACUGCAUUCGAAACUGGCAGGCUAGAGUCUUGUAGAGGGGGGUAGAAUUCCAUGUGUAGCGGUGAAAUGCGUAGAGAUGUGGAGGAAUACCGGUGGCGAAGGCGGCCCCCUGGACAAAGACUGACGCUCAGGUGCGAAAGCGUGGGGAGCAAACAGG
rnacentral:rRNA from 1 species